UACGAAGGGGGCUAGCGUUGUUCGGAUUUACUGGGCGUAAAGCGCACGUAGGCGGAUCGUUAAGUCGGGGGUGAAAUCCUGGAGCUCAACUCCAGAACUGCCUUCGAUACUGGCGAUCUUGAGUCCGGAAGAGGUGAGUGGAAUUCCUAGUGUAGAGGUGGAGUUCGUAGAUAUUAGGAAGAACACCAGUGGCGAAGGCGGCUCACUGGUCCGGUACUGACGCUGAGGUGCGAAAGCGUGGGGAGCAAACAGG
rnacentral:rRNA from 1 species